rnacentral:misc_RNA from 1 species
AACGCACAUUGCGCCCCCUGGCAUUCCGGGGGGCAUGCCUGUCCGAGCGUCAUUUCUGCCCUCAAGCACGGCUUGUGUGUUGGGUGUGGUCCCCCCGGGGACCUGCCCGAAAGGCAGCGGCGACGUCCGUCUGGUCCUCGAGCGUAUGGGGCUCUGUCACUCGCUCGGGAAGGACCUGCGGGGGUUGGUCACCACCAUGUUUUUACCACGGUUGACCUCGGAUCAGGUAGGAGUUACCCGCUGAACUUAA